GAUGAACGCUGGCGGCGUGCCUAAUACAUGCAAGUCGAGCGGACGGACGAGAAGCUUGCUUUUCUGAUGUUAGCGGCGGACGGGUGAGUAACACGUGGAUAACCUACCUAUCUGACUGGGAUAACUUCGGGAAACCGGAUCUAAUACCGGAUAAUAUUUUGAACCGCAUGGUUCAAAAGUGAAUGACGGUCUUGCUGUCACUUAUAGAUGGAUCCGCGCUGCAUUAGCUAGUUGGUAGGGUAACGGCUUACCAAGGCGACGAUGCAUAGCCGACCUGAGAGGGUGAUCGGCCACACGGGAACUGAGACACGGUCCAGACUCCUACGGGAGGCAGCAGUAGGGAAUCUUCGGCAGUGGGCGAAAGCCUGACGGAGCAACGCCGCGUGAGUGAUGAAGGUCUUCGGAUCGUAAAACUCUGUUAUUGGGGAAGAACAGAUGUGGAAGUAACUGUGCACAUCUUGACGGUACCUAAUCAGAAAGCCACGGCUAACUACGUG
rnacentral:rRNA from 1 species